GACCUCGGAUCAGGUAGGAAUACCCGCUGAACUUAAGCAUAUCAAUAAGCGGAGGAAAAGAAACCAACAGGGAUUGCCCUAGUAACGGCGAGUGAAGCGGCCACAGCUCAGAUUUGAAAUCUGGCUCUCGGGCCCGAGUUGUAAUUUGUAGAGGAUGCUUUUGAUGCGGGGGCCUUCCGAGUUCC
rnacentral:rRNA from 1 species